AGUGAACGCUGGCGGUAGGCCUAACACAUGCAAGUCGAACGGCAGCACAGUAAGAGCUUGCUCUUACGGGUGGCGAGUGGCGGACGGGUGAGGAAUACAUCGGAAUCUACUUUUUCGUGGGGGAUAACGUAGGGAAACUUACGCUAAUACCGCAUACGACCUACGGGUGAAAGCAGGGGAUCUUCGGACCUUGCGCGACUGAAUGAGCCGAUGUCGGAUUAGUUAGUUGGCGGGGUAAAGGCCCACUAAGGCGACGAUCCGUAGCUGGUCUGAGUGGAUGAUCAGCCACACUGGAACUGAGACACGGUCCAGACUCCUGCGGGAGGCAGCAGUGGGGAAUAUUGGACAAUGGGCGCAAGCCUGAUCCAGCCAUACCGCGUGGGUGAAGAAGGCCUUCGGGUUGUGAAGCCCUUUUGUUGGGAAAGAAAAGCAGCAGGUUAAUACCCCGCUGUUCUGACGGUACCCAAAGAAUAAGCACCGGCUAACUUCGUG
rnacentral:rRNA from 1 species